rnacentral:lncRNA from 1 species
CCUGCAAGAUUAGAAGUUAAGUGAAUAAGCGACAAAACAGAUUCAGCCCCCCUCUGGUCAUGAAUCACCCAAAAUAGCUCAAUAAUGGAUACAAAAUGGAAAGAAGAAGUUACUCUUGAGAUGUUGAAAGAGGUGAUUAUUGAUGAAUCUUGAAGUCUCAGGACAACAAAACAGAUUCAACCCCCUCUGGUCAUGAAUCACCCAAAAUAGCUCAAUACUACAACAACAACAACAACCCAGUAUAAUCCCACAUAGUGGGAUCUGGGAAGGGUAGUAUGUACGCAGACCUUACCUUUACCCUGGGGUAGAGAGGCUGUUUCCAAAUAGACCCCCGACAUCCUUCCCUCCAAGAACUUCCCACCUUGCUCUUGGGGAGACUCGAACUCACAACCUCUCGGUUGGAAGUGGGGGUUCUUACCAUCAGAGCAACCCCUCUUGUUUGUGAUUAAGAGAGACUAUUAUCCUAAAUUAUCAUAUCAGCGGGAAAUUCGUGUUAUAAUUCAACUGCGUUAUUUAUUUUUGAUAAAAAUUAUCCCAAAAUAGCUCAAUAAUGGAUACAAAAUGGAAAGAAGUUACUCUUGAGAUGUUGAAAGAGGUGAUUAUUGAUGAAUCUUGAAGUCUCAGGACCGCCAUGGCCAUCAUAAACUCCGACAAAGGUACCAUAAGGACCAGAAUCAUUUAAGCUCAAGCAGCCA